GUCUGCUCCAUGCUUUGGGCAGCUCUCAGGUGGAGUCUCUCUCCCUCUAAGACCGCAGCCUGGGAAGGUUGGAGCUCAAACGAGCACCUGUUGAGUUGCCGUGAGCUGCUUGGAUGUUGCCUCUGCCACCUGCCAGCCUCCCUGAUGGACAGAGUCCCCUCUCGGCUUGGACAGGAACGAGGUGACCAAUGGUCGGUGGCUCCGUAGUCCCACCCCACAGCUGGCUUCUCUGAGCCCUGCACAGUGGCAUCUCCAGGACACCUGCUGCCUCCAUCUAUUGGCAGAGCCGACAGCCCGCGGAGCAGGAAGCCUGAUUCCCAACCAGGCUCAUUGCUGUGUGUCUGUAAUUAAGGCCCUUGACAUCUCUGAACCUCAUUCUGCAGUUUCAGACAUCCAGGCCAGGCACCGGGCCUUCCCUCCUUCACAAGGCAGAGGGUACAAUGAGCUCACAUCCAGCGGCAUGCCCAGGGACUGGCAGAGAGCCAGCAUCCUACAAAUCCACAGCCUGUAAGCAUGGCUGCAAGGUGGCUGCUGUGGUUCCAGCCCUCAACUGCAGACACAAUCCUGUCCAGGGGACAAGAAAAGGAACUAUUUCUUCCCAGCCUGGAAGAAUCAUGGACAGGAGGGCGUGUGCCCAGCCAAGUGAGAUUUCCUCAGCCUUCAUCAGAACCGGGAUAGCAGUGUGCUUUAAAGCAUGGACUCCAGAGUCAGGCAGUGUAAAGACGGUUCCUGUUUCCACAACAGAGUCUCCACGCUGCCUCCCACUUUCAAACCAGAAACUCUCGAGUAGACAGAGAUGCCUUGUGAUCCAAUGAAGCCUGGCCCUGCCCAAAGAUCACCACUCUGCCCAUCCUAGGGGAUCCAGAAAUGCUUCUGAAUUUGUCCUCUGAGGACCUGGACCACGUCAAGAUUUGGAUGUUCAUUGGGAAGCUGUACUAGUCUGUUCUCACGUUGCUAAUAAAGACAUACCCAGGGCCAGGCAAGGUGGCUCACGCCUGUAAUCCCAGCACUUUGGGAGGCCAAGGUGGAUGGAUCACAAGGUCAGGAGUUCAAGACCAGCCUGCCCAAUGUGAUGAAAUCCAAUCUCUACCAAAAAUUCAAAAAAUUAGCCGGGCGUGGUGCUGGGCACCUGUAAUCCCAGCUACUCAGGAGGCUGAGGCAGAGAAUGGCUUGAACCUGGGAGGUGGAGGUUGCAGUGAGCCGAGAUCACACCACUGCACUCCAGCCUGGGUGACAGAGCGAGACUCUCUCUCAAAAAAAAAAAAAAAGACAUACCCGAGACUGGGUGAUUUAUAAAGAAAAAGAGGUUUAAUGGGUUUACAGUUCCACACGGCUGGGGAGGCCUCACAAUCAUGGCAAGAGGCACAUCUUACAUGGCAGCAGGCAAGAGAGAGAACAAGAACCAAGCAAAAGAGUUUUCUCCUUAUAAAACCAUCAGAUCUCGUGAGACUUACUCACUACCACGAGAACAGUAUGGGGGAACCACCAGUCCCUUCCACAACACAUGGGAAUUAUGGGAGCUACAAUUCAAGAUGAGAUUUGGGUGGGGACACAGCCAAACUAUAUCAGCAGGUGAAUCCGAGAGAAGGCAGAGGGAGCUGUGAAGGGCCCAUUGAUUCUAACAUUUCUUCGGCCCCCUGUUCGGAGUCCUCCAUGGCUCCCUAUUGCCUGCUUUCUCUAGAAUCCAAACUGCACCCUGACUUGGAGCAUCUUCAGCAGACAAGUCCAGCCUACUGAUCAUCUUUCAUUGAGCACAUUUUUCUCAGGUUCCGG
rnacentral:lncRNA from 1 species